GCUUGGGUAGCUCAGUUGGUUGAGUGUCUGACUUCGGUUCAGGUCAUGAUCUUACAGUUUGUGAGCUCGAGCCCCACAUCAAGCU
rnacentral:tRNA from 1 species